rnacentral:rRNA from 1 species
AGCGAACGCUGGCGGCAGGCUUAACACAUGCAAGUCGAACGCCCGUAGCAAUACGGGAGUGGCAGACGGGUGAGUAACGCGUGGGAACAUGCCUUUUGGUUCGGAAUAACUCAGGGAAACUUGAGCUAAUACCGGAUAAGCCCGAGAGGGGAAAGAUUUAUCGACGAAGGAUUGGCCCGCGUCCGAUUAGCUAGUUGGUGAGGUAAUGGCUCACCAAGGCGACGAUCGGUAGCUGGUCUGGGAGGAUGAUCAGCCACACUGGGACUGAGACACGGCCCAGACUCCUACGGGAGGCAGCAGUGGGGAAUAUUGGACAAUGGGGGCAACCCUGAUCCAGCCAUGCCGCGUGAGUGAUGAAGGCCCUAGGGUUGUAAAGCUCUUUCGGCGGGGACGAUAAUGACGGUACCCGCAGAAGAAGCCCCGGCCAACUUCGUGCCAGCCGCCGCCGUAACAC